GUGAAUCAUCGAAUCUUUGAACGCAAAUUGCACUCUCUGGCAUUCCGGAGAGUAUGCCUGUUUGAGGGUCGGGUUAAAUAAAAAUCGAGGUGUUGCUUUUUGGUGACCCAUCGGGAUUGGGCUAUCUUUGACCUUUUAAAAGAUUUAAGUGACCUAAAAUUGAUACCUUGUACCUCUCAGACGUACAUAAGUAUCUUUUUUUAUCCGUUCUGA
rnacentral:misc_RNA from 1 species